UCCGGUUUGUCACCGGCAGUCUCCCUAGAGUGCCCUUGCGUAGCAACUAGGGACAAGGGUUGCGCUCGUUGCGGGACUUAACCCAACAUCUCACGACACGAGCUGACGACAGCCAUGCACCACCUGUGCACAGGCCCCGAAAGGCUGCCGUGUUUCCACGACAUUCCUGUGCAUGUCAAGCCUUGGUAAGGUUCUUCGCGUCGCGUCGAAUUAAACCACAUGCUCCGCUGCUUGUGCGGGCCCCCGCCAAUUCCUUUGAGUUUUAGCCUUGCGGCCGUACUCCCCAGGCGGGGUGCUUAAUGCGUUAGCUGCGUCACCGACAGGCAUGCCUGCCGACAACUAGCACUCAUCGUUUACAGCGUGGACUAC
rnacentral:misc_RNA from 1 species